rnacentral:tRNA from 1 species
CGGGGCGUGGCUCAGCUUGGCUAGAGCGCUUGCAUGGGGUGCAAGAGGUCCCGAGUUCAAAUCUCGGCGCCCCGA